GCCGAAAAUCUAGCCACACAUUUUCUUAUGACCAAUUUAUACCUAUUUCCUCCCACUAAAACAUUUUUUUAUUCUAGUAAAGGCGAUCGAAAAAUUUUCAAGAGCUAUAAAUAAAGUACCGCAAGGGAAAGAUGAAAUAAUAUGAAAUAAACACAAGCACAAAAAAGUAAAGAUUAAAUCUUGUACCUUUUGCAUCAUGAUUUAACUAGUCCACCCAAGCAGAAAGAAUUUAAGUUUGACUUCCCGAAACUAGGUGAGCUACUUCAAGGUAGUUUUAUGAACUCAUCCGUCUCUGUUGCAAAAGAGUGGAAAGACCUUCAAGUAGGGGUGACAGACCUAACGAACCUAGUGAUAGCUGGUUACUCAAGAAAAGGAUUUUAGUCCGCCCUAACGUUUUCUAAAUUACACUAGAUAGAAUCUUGACUUUAGAGUUAUUCAAAUAAGGUACAGCCUAUUUGAACUAGGAUACAACCUCAACUAAUGGGUAAACUUAAUUAACACGUAACUAAGUGGGCCUAAGAGCAGCCACCUAUUGAACAGCGUCAAAGCUUAACUACAUUUAAUUUUAAUACCAACAUUUUUCACCAACCCUUUAUUUGUAAUGAGUACUUCCAUAUGCUUAUGGAACUUAUUAUGUUAAAACUAGUAACAAGAAUUAGACCUUCUCUUCAAUGCAAACAUAAAUCAGUAAGGACACUCCACUGAUAAUUAACAUUCCUGAGUUUAAAGUAGUAACCAAACAAGAAAAUGCUACUCUUUAUUAUGUUAACCUGACACAAGAGCAUUUCAAGAAAGAUUAAAAGAAAAAGAAGGAACUCGGCAAAUAUUAACCUCGCCUGUUUACCAAAAACAUCGCCUCUUGCACCCAUAUAAGAGGUCCAGCCUGCCCAGUGACCCAGUUCAACGGCCGCGGUAUCCUAACCGUGCGAAGGUAGCGUAAUCACUUGUUCUUUAAAUAAGGACUAGUAUGAAUGGCAUCACGAGGGUUAUACUGUCUCCUUUUUCUAAUCAGUGAAACUAAUCUUCCCGUGAAGAAGCGGGAAUAAAUUUAUAAGACGAGAAGACCCUAUGGAGCUUUAAAUAUAUAGCAAAUGCUUAUUCUUCAUUCUCAUCCAGAUGACUCACUUUUAUUUUAGCAUUUUGACCUAUAAAUUUUAGGUUGGGGUGACCAUGGAGCAAAAAUCAACCUCCAUAUUGAAAAAACCUCAUUUUUAAGCAAAAAGUUACCACUUUAAGCAUCAACACACUGACAUUAAUUGACCCAAUAAUUUGAUCAAUGAACCAAGUUACCCUAGGGAUAACAGCGCAAUCCACUUCGAGAGCUCUUAUCGACAAGUAGGUUUACGACCUCGAUGUUGGAUCAGGGUAUCCUAGUGGUGC
rnacentral:rRNA from 1 species